rnacentral:sRNA from 1 species
CUAUAUACAAAAUAACACUGUGGCAACACAAAUCAAAAUAAUUGCAAAAAACCUUUGAAAUGGCAACUCUUUCGAUGUAUUAUCAUUAUUGUUGUUGAGAUAGAUGCCUUUGUUGUUGCUUGCAGCAAAAAGCGUAAGCUACCUUUGUAUGAAUGCAUGCAGUGUGUGUGUGUGUGCUUGUGUGUAUGGCUGUGGAUGAGAGCAUUGUUACCAACGUCUCUUGUCUUGUCACUUCUGAGAAUUCGGUCUAAAUUAGAAAUACGUUUCUUGGAACUUUUGAUUUUAUUAUUUCGUUGGUACGAUGUUCAACAUUCGUUGAAUUGUUGGUCUGUCGGACGGUCGGUUUGGCUGGUUGGUUGGUUGUUUAGUUGGUGUUUUUCUUGACUCUGCUGCUGUUGUGUUGCUCUUGUUUUUCUCGGAUGCUUGGAUGAAUGGUGCUUGUGCUGCAUUCAUUGGUGGCGUUAUAAGAAAGAUGGGGGCAGGCGAGCAACAACGACGACGAAUUCAAAUAAUAAAUUCCUGGUAUUUUAAUUUUGAGCGAAAACCAAAUUAUGAUGAAACGCACAGAGGCAGCAGUUUCCAAAGGUCCAUAACGGAUCUGAAGCCCGCCAUCAGUAAGCCAGCCAGCAAUUCAGCCAAGGCAAGCAUCCUUCCACCAGAGCCAAGUCAAGCCAGCCAACAGCCAAUGCUUGCAAACUUCGUUCGUUGUUAAUGAAAUUGUAUCUUGGAGGAUGUGUGUCUGGUAGAUUCGAUUGAAAUGCCAUUUAUAAGGAUUCGUCCGGUGUGGGAGCGUUAACUUGAAUUUUUUUAAUGAUUUCAAUUCUAACUAAAUUGAGAUUUUUUUUGUUAUUACUGAAAGGCACUAUAAAACCUUGAAACAAAAAGCAAA